UGAGGAAUAUUGGUCAAUGGAGGCAACUCUGAACCAGCCAUGCCGCGUGCAGGAAGACUGCCCUAUGGGUUGUAAACUGCUUUUAUACAGGAAGAAACACAGCUACGUGUAGUUGUUUGACGGUACUGUAAGAAUAAGGAUCGGCUAACUCCGUGCCAGCAGCCGCGGUAAUACGGAGGAUCCAAGCGUUAUCCGGAAUCAUUGGGUUUAAAGGGUCCGUAGGUGGAUUAAUAAGUCAGAGGUGAAAUCCUGCAGCUCAACUGUAGAACUGCCUUUGAUACUGUUAAUCUUGAGUCAUUAUGAAGUGGUUAGAAUGUGUAGUGUAGCGGUGAAAUGCAUAGAUAUUACAC
rnacentral:rRNA from 1 species